rnacentral:misc_RNA from 1 species
AAAGUGCGAAAAGUAAUGCGACUUGCAUAAAUCGUGAACCAUUGAGUUCUUGAACGCAUAUUGCACCCUUUGGUCACCCGAAGGGUCUGCCUGUCUGAGUAUUGAUUAACUAUUCUCGGCUAUUUCAGUCGGAUAUGAGCGCGCCGGUGAUCCUCUUUUGAGGCCCGGUGGCUUGAAACAUCCACGUGUGCCGAUGCACCGCGUGUCCUUGGGCAGUUCUCUGCACUCCACGCACCGCUUCCACACCCCCCCCAAUGCGCAUCCACAACAAUACUCAAUCUCAGAUCAGGCAGGACUACCCGCUGAACUUAA